rnacentral:piRNA from 1 species
UCCAGUAGGGAAAGAGUAGUUAGUG